rnacentral:rRNA from 1 species
CCUACGGGAGGCAGCAGUGGGGAAUAUUGCACAAUGGGGGAAACCCUGAUGCAGCGACGCCGCGUGCGUGAAGAAGUACUUCGUUAUGUAAAGCUCUAUCAGCAGGGGAAAAAAUGCCUGUACCUGAGUAAGAAGCCCCGGAUAACUACGUGCCAGCAGCCGCCGUAAUACGUAGGGGGCAAGCGUUAUCCGGAUUUACUGGGUGUAAAGGGAGCGUAGACGGCAGUGCAAGUCUGGAGUGAAAGGCGGGGGCUCAACCCGCGGACUGCUGUGGAAACUGUACGGCUGGAGUGCAGGAGAGGUAAGUGGAAUUCGUAGUGUAGCGGUGAAAUGCGUAGAUAUUAGGAGGAACACCAGUGGCGAAGGCGGCUUACUGGAGUGCAACUGACGUUGAGGCUCGAAGGCGCGGGGAGCAAACAGGAUUAGAUACCCCUGUAGUC